UAAAUAAUAAUAAAUACUAUUUGUCCGAUAGCUGUGCUCAAAUCUUUGAUUUGGUUUUAGGAAAUAUGAUCUCUAAGCCUCGGCUGUGUAUCCCCCUCUUAAUCUCUGAGUCAUGGUCACUCAGUCUGCAUUUUGUAAUGAGUUGAACUUCUCUGAUUUGGUUAAUUUGGAGAUAAUUACCGUUGUCUGUUUCAUAAAAGUGACAGUUUAUUUUGCUGAUUUAUUUCUGCUUCUUUGUUGCUCUGCAGAAACGGCUAUGUUCUCUCUUCUCAUGCCAGCCGUCUCAUAAAAGUCCUGUUUACUUCUUACAACUUGCUGUAAUAAAAUGUCCACUCAAGCCCAAUUUAGAACAGGCACAUGAUGGGGUUAUAUCAUUAUGUUCUGGAUCAGACAAGGAUGUUUUUUAUUGUUAAUUUCACAUUCAUUCCAUUCUCUAAAAGUGGUCCAAAUUAAAUUCACUUCACUUUUCAAUAAACACUGAAGUUAUCUGAAUUGCCUUUAGGAACUUGUGGGGUUAAAGGUGGGUGCCUUGUGGAUGUAUGAUAUAUAUAUAAAACAUCUGAGAAACCUACCUGUUUAGUGGUUGUGUUUUGUGUGAAGUUUAGUGGAUUUCCUCUGGGACUGUUUUGAGAUGUGGUUGGUUUUCUCCUGUUCUCUCUUUUAUGAAACUUGUUAGUCCUGAAUAUCAUUUUACUGUUGUGUUUUUUUUUUCCCACCUUUAUUUAUUCAGGGGGGAGUUUCACUGAGAGCAAUGCUUUCUUUUUCCUGGAACGCCCUGAUCACAUUCACACAGUUACACAUUCACACCAGCUGUCCAGUACAACCACAGUCUGGUCUGCUGGCCACUGAGCAGCUCCACUGGAGCAGUUAAGGGCCUUGCUCAAAGGCACCUCAGUGGUCGAGUGGCAAGCACUGCUUUUCACUUUCCCCACCCAGAUUUCUGCCCACUCUAUUCUUUUAGAGACACUGGAUAUAGGAGCCUCUGUCUAUGCUGUUGGCUUUGUCACAGUCUUUGGUUUGGAACACUUUGGGUCCAGAUAUUAUGAUACUGGUAGUCAUGACCAGCCAAUGCAAGGAGAGGCUAUUGGAAGACAUUUGGUUCAGGAGGGGACUUGCAAAUCUGACUGCAUCUUGCUGCAUAUGCUACAAAUACACUGCUGCCAUUCGUGUUGGCAGGUAAGACACACAUUGUUUAAGGGGUCGGAUAUCACUUUGCCUUUUUUCUGUUGCUAAGCAACAUUAGCUCUUUUUCAUUAUGGACUUUCUUUGUCUAGGGCUUCCUGUCUGAUUUACAUCAAUGCUGGAGGUAAUUUGUUUUAAAUUAAUUAAUUAUGCUGUGUCACAGUUUGUGAAACCAAAUUCAGUUUUUCAAAAUAAAAGUUCCUUAUUUGAAUGUCUGCAAAAGCUACUGUAAAUACAUUUAAAAAAAUCAGACUUUGAACACCUAUUAAGAGCUUUCAACUUUAACUGAAACAUGAACAAUAAGCUCAGGCUUUGAUUAGCACAGGGUUUCUUUUUCACAGCAGUAAAAACAAGCUCAACCACUGCACCCUUUUGUAAGUACAGGGAAUAAGCAGUCAAGGGCAUUAUGUUGCACAGUUUAGCUCUCCUUUGCACAAUGGGCAUUUUGAUAAUGCAAUGCAAUGGAUACAGCUGAGGAUUUAGACAGUAUUAACGUUAGCAAAACUCUAAUUGAGUUAAGAAAUUGGGUCACAGUCAGGCAAGUUCAGCCAGUAAAACUUAAGAAGGUGUCUGCAAAAAAGCCUGUUGAAGAGGUUGCUUCAUCUGUUUUUAUCCAGUGAUAAUGUCUCAUUGACUGGUUGCAUAAA
rnacentral:lncRNA from 15 species